GACGAACGCUGGCGGCGUGCCUAAUACAUGCAAGUUGAGCGCUGAAGGUUGGUACUUGUACCAACUGGAUGAGCAGCGAACGGGUGAGUAACGCGUGGGGAAUCUGCCUUUGAGCGGGGGACAACAUUUGGAAACGAAUGCUAAUACCGCAUAAAAACUUUAAACACAAGUUUUAAGUUUGAAAGAUGCAAUUGCAUCACUCAAAGAUGAUCCCGCGUUGUAUUAGCUAGUUGGUGAGGUAAAGGCUCACCAAGGCGAUGAUACAUAGCCGACCUGAGAGGGUGAUCGGCCACAUUGGGACUGAGACACGGCCCAAACUCCUACGGGAGGCAGCAGUAGGGAAUCUUCGGCAAUGGACGAAAGCCUGACCGAGCAACGCCGCGUGAGUGAAGAAGGGUUUCGGAUCGUAAAACUCUGUUGGUAGAGAAGAACGUUGGUGAGAGUGGAAAGCUCAUCAAGUGACGGUAACUACCCAGAAAGGGACGGCUAACUACGUG
rnacentral:rRNA from 1 species